rnacentral:rRNA from 1 species
UACAGAGGUCCCGAGCGUUUGUUCGGAUUCAUUGGGCGUAAAGGGUGCGUAGGCGGCGGGGCAAGUCUGAUGUGAAAAUCCCCGGGGGCUCAACCCCGGAACUGCAUUGGAUACUGCCUUGCUUGAGUACUGGAGAGGGAACUGGAAUUUACGGUGUAGCAGUGAAAUGCGUAGAGAUCGUAAGGAAGGCCAGUGGCGAAGGCGAGUUCCUGGACAGUGACUGACGGCUGAGGCACGAAGGCCAGGGGAGCAAACGGG